GAUCAUGGCUCAGGAUGAACGCUAGCUACAGGCUUAACACAUGCAAGUCGAGGGGCAGCAUGAACUUAGCUUGCUAAGUUUGAUGGCGACCGGCGCACGGGUGAGUAACACGUAUCCAACCUGCCGAUGACUCGGUGGAUACGUCCUUUACGAAAAGAAAGUAAUUAACUACCCGAGUGGCAUUAGUUUCCUUCCGCAGUGGUAAGAACUUAAUUAAAAGUAAGUUUCGGUCAUCGAGGUGGGGAUGUCCGUUCCUAG
rnacentral:rRNA from 1 species